UUUUUUUUAAAGUUUUUUUUAGUUCUUUUUGUAAUAUAUUUAGGGUGUUUUUUCAGAAAUACUUUUCCUUCUGUUUUUUAAUUUUGUUUAUACUAUUUUUAGUUUUCUUUAGUUUUUUUCUGCCUGUUUAAAGUUUUUUUUUUAGUUUUUUUUUAGUUUUUUUUAUUUAUAAAUAUAUUUAGGGUGUGUUUUUCCGAUAUACUUUUCCUUCUGUUUUUUUAUUUUGUUUAUACCAUCCUUUCUAUUUUUUAGUUUUCUUUAGUUUUUUUCUGCCUGUUUUAAGUUUUGUUUUGUUUUUUUAGUUUUUUUUGUUUUUUCUAUAUAUUUAGGGUCUUUUUUUCUGAAAUACUUUUCCCUCUGUUUUUUUAUUUUGUUUAUACUAUCCUUUCUAUUUUUUAGUUUUCUUUAGUUUUUUUCUGCCUGUUUUAAGUUUUUUUUUUUUUUUUUUCUAUAUAUUUGGGGUAUUUUUUCUGAUAUACUUUUCUUUCUGUUUUUUCAAUUUUGUUUAUACUAUCCUUUCUCUUUUUUUAGUUUUCUCUAGUUUUUUUCUGCCUGUUUUAAGUUUUUUUAUUAGUUUUUUUUUAGUUUUUUUUAUUUAUAAAUAUAUUUAGGGUGUGUUUUUCAGAUAUACUUUUCCUUCUGUUUUUUUAUUUUGUUU